rnacentral:rRNA from 1 species
AACGAACGCUGGCGGCAGGCUUAACACAUGCAAGUCGAACGCGUGUAGCAAUACACGAGUGGCGCACGGGUGAGUAACGCGUGGAUAUCUGCCUUUUGGUUCGGAAUAACUCCGGGAAACUGGAGCUAAUACCGGAUGGUUCCUACGGGAUAAAGAUUUAUCGCCAAAAGAUGAGUCCGCGUACGAUUAGCUAGUUGGUGAGGUAAUGGCUCACCAAGGCGACGAUCGUUAGCUGGUCUGAGAGGACGAUCAGCCACACUGGGACUGAGACACGGCCCAGACUCCUACGGGAGGCAGCAGUGGGGAAUAUUGGACAAUGGGGCAACCCUGAUCCAGCCAUGCCGCGUGAGUGAUGAAGGCCUUCGGGUUGUAAAGCUCUUUUGGCGGGGACGAUGAUGACGGUACCCGCAGAAUAAGCCCCGGCUAACUUCGUGCCAGCAGCCGC